rnacentral:rRNA from 1 species
AUUGAACGCUGGCGGCAGGCCUAACACAUGCAAGUCGAACGAGUGGCGGACGGGUGAGUAAUGUCUGGGAAACUGCCCGAUGGAGGGGGAUAACUACUGGAAACGGUAGCUACUACCGCAUACCAUCGGAUGUGCCCAGAUGGGAUUAGCUAGUAGGUGGGGUAACGGCUGACCUAGGCGACGAUCCCUACCUGGUCUGAGAGGAUGACCAUCCACACUGGAACUGAGACACGGUCCAGACUCCUACGGGAUGCAGCAGUGGGGAAUAUUGGACAAUUGGCGAAAGCCUGAUGCAGCCAUGCCGCGUGUGUGAAGAAGGCCUUCGGGUUGUAAAGUACUUUCAGCGGGGAGGCGUUACUCGCAGAAGAAGCACCGGCUAACUCCGUGCCAGCCGCCGCGGUAAUAC